rnacentral:lncRNA from 1 species
CUAAUUGGGUGCAAAUAUUCUUCCCAUAUUGGAACCAUUAUUGUAGAAUGUGGCCACAAUGUCCAAAAUUUGGGGUUGUGAAACUGGGUAUCUGGUGCUGGAAGACCAAACAAACAGCAAAAGAAGAGUAUGACUCCCAAAUAUGAAGGCAUACUAUGGUUGAUACCAUGUGAGGCUCCACUCAAGGGCAUAGACUUCCACAGCAGUAGUGCCAGGGGUCUCAUUUGACUAGAGGUUUUCUUGUAUGGAGGUGGAGAAAGUGGGAGCAGAGGUAGCAACAAGAAGAUAACAAAGUCCCCUUUUGAAUGUUGUUGGGUGUUUUUAUUGAUGUAAGAUUAGCAUAGAUGGAUAGAUCACAAAAUUGAGUGGGUAGUUAGCAAGAACAUAGCAGUGGGCCAGGGGUUUUUUGAAUUCUAAUAAAGAGCAG